rnacentral:rRNA from 1 species
UAGUCCUACGGGGCGCAGCAGUGGGGGAUAUUGCACAAUGGGGGGAACCCUGAUGCAGCGACGCCGCGUGAGUGAAGAAGUAUCUCGGUAUGUAAACUUCUAUCAGCAGGGAAGAAAACAGACGGUACCUGGCUAAGAAGCCCCGGCUAACUACGUGCCAGCAGCCGCGGUAAUACGUAGGGGGCAAGCGUUAUCCGGAUUUACUGGGUGUAAAGGGAGCGUAGACGGCUGUGCAAGUCUGAAGUGAAAUGCCAGGGCUCAACCCCGGAACUGCUUUGGAAACUGUACAGCUAGAGUGCAGGAGG